rnacentral:tRNA from 1 species
AAAAUAGAAUAGAAAAAAUUUGGCUUCGAAUCAAAUAAUGGCUUAUGCCCUAUUUUA